CUGCAGCCGUACUCAUCCUCACGGUGACCGUCACGGACGUUAACGCUACGUUAACAAACGUUAACGCUACGGACGUAAACGCUACGGACGUCGCACCCAACCAGACUGCGUCCGCGGAAGUGACGGUAUACAUACAAGCAUUCAGCGACAAGAACCCGAUAUUCAGCGCCCCCUGGACGCCCGCGCACCCGCUGCUGACGGUGCAGCUCAGGGAGGAAGAGCCUUUAGACAAGCCUGUCUUUGCCGUCACUGCCAAAGACCCCGUCUCAGGCCAGCCCGUUAGGAGGUACGCGAAAGUACCGGACUCGGACCCCGACAACAUCUUCUCCGUCGCCCCCAUCACCGGGCAGGUCUCUCUCAACCGCAGGGUGGACUAUGAAGCCUCAGAG
rnacentral:lncRNA from 1 species